rnacentral:sRNA from 1 species
CGGCAGGCCUCGGAGACUUCCUCUAUUUAUCCACAGAACAGAUAUAACAUGGGUAGUAAAAAUGCAAGCUUCCACAAACUGCCCCAACGUGUCUGAACCCCGAUCUGUACUGCUUGUGGAAAUAUUCAAAGGAUUAGCAGUUAUUUUAGUUUCCAUGGCUCUUCAAUUGGCCUUU